rnacentral:lncRNA from 1 species
AAUAAAAAAUAAAAAGGAACAAUAUUGUUCUUGGCAAUAAAGAACAAUUAUGAACUUGAAAAGAAAACUGGGCUCAGAACGCAAGUCAUUUCUUAGGUGGUCUCAGGCUGAACUAAGAUCCAUUUCUCAGUAUACUUUUCCUAAAUGAAAUAGAAAUUGUAUUACGAAAUAUUAUAAUGUAUGGAUAGAGAUAAUAACUUUGGCAUGCUUGAUACUGUGACAUAAAGAUUUGGUGAGGGGUGAAAUAGUUCAUAGCAUCCUUCCAAGGGAUCUAUUAACAAGAAUUUGAAGUCCUAGAUUCACUUAGAAUCACCUGGGAAGGUUUAAAAAGUCCCGGAGUCCCAAAUAUUCAGACAUAACCAAGCAGUCUUGUGUUUGUACCUAAUGUGAGCAUUUUUUAAGUAAGCUCUUCACAUGAUUCCACAGAACAACCAGAGUUGAAAACUAUUCAAUGAUGCAGGUCUCCAAUUUUAGGCACCAGAAGAAGUGCCUGGAAAGCUUGUUAAAAGUGCACAUGCAGAUUGAGCCUCAAUGGGACUGAAGUGGGGCACAAAAUAUAUUUACUUAACAAACUUUCUAGGUGAUUCUAAUGUGGAGGCCCACAGACCACUCUGAAAAACACAGGUGCAGGAUUCGUUGUUUCUGUAAUUAAAAAUGCCGCCACUCUGUGGAAUGCAAAAUUGAAGAUUCCAGCAGACACAUAUCACCAUAAACUAGGUCUUCCUUUUUAAAUAAUUCCUCCCAAAUUGCUAAUCAGAACUCAUGAUGAAGUCUUGAUUUAAAAAACCUGAACU